AUCUACUGGAAGCUUUCAAGAGGCUUAAUGAAGGCGAGAGAACAGCAACUGAGCUUGAAAAAAUGCUUGAUUCUAUUGAAAGUAAAAUAAGAAAGCUGGA
rnacentral:misc_RNA from 1 species